CAGGUAGGGUUUCCUCCGCUGGAGACACAGCACAUUCUGACUCACCUAGAGAAUCAUGGCAUCUCGAGGCUACAAGAGACUUUACGGGGGUCAUCUGACCCGCUGCCAACUGGAAAGUGGAGUUUGGUACGGCAGAUGUCUCCAACUUCAGAAGAGAAACUGAGGUACAGAGAGUUUAAGCAACGUGCUCACAAGUCAUUUAGGUGCUGCGCUAGCUUUGAGGAGGGACGUCAUUUCCGUUGUUCGAGACCACCCUGCUUCCCACCCAACACCCCGCUAAAGCUGCCCUCACCAGAGUUACCAGGAACCUCAAUGUGGAUCAGCCCCAGAGACACCUUCCUAGACCUCACGGCCCGUUAGAUGCCUUUGCCAAGUCAAGAUCAUCUCCCUUCUUUGGGAUGGCUGGAAAGAACCCCAGGGCCCCAGGAUCAGACGUGGAGACGUGGAGGGGCUUACCGCCAGCCACCCCUCUGCUUGGCUCCCUGGAGGGGAGUGGGGAGGGCCCCUUCCCCUCAUCUCUGCUGAUUGAACCAAGUUCAUGUUCAGAAUGUAUAUAAAGUUAUUUGGGCCAAAUUUCCAUGUUAACUGUUCAGAACAGAAAUGCUCAGUGUCAGUUAAAUUUGGUUAGAUUACAAGACAACACAGUCAAGAUCAAGAACAUGUGGCCUGAUUUGAUUUAACCCAGAGAAGAAAUGCCUUUUUCCUUCUGCUCAGCUAUAACAUUAUACAUAUAAAGAUACAUACGUGCUUGCUCUCUGCCAGAAAUGUCAACUGCUUUUGAUCUCUCCCUUUAGAUAUUAAAGUUUCCCCUGCUCACCCCUCUGGUUGGCGGGCCCCUUAAGGGCUUUCAAACCAGUAAACAAGCCUGGAGCUGUUGAGAGGGCGGAAGCUGUUUGCCUUUUGAGCUGGAGCCCCGUAGCCCAAAGGUCGUGUUUAAUCAGCCUCAAGGUUUUGGUUAACACUGACUUGGAGUUUAAAAUAGCAUUUCAAUAACCUCGGCCUCCUCCCGCUCCCCCAUCAGCCAGGGGAGGAGGGAGACAGGGGCCCAUGGCUUUCGAAGGGUUUGUGUGUUUGUUGUUAAGGUUCUGAAGCGAACGAGCCGCGCUUGGCUGGUGGCCGUGAUGGAGAGCUGCCCUCCUGGGCCACCUCGGGCAGGGCCCUGGCCAGGACCAGGUCCUGAGUGCUCCCCAGUAAGGGGACUUGCUGUAGCAGAGUGCUGGCUGGGGUUUGCAUUUCCUUCUUCUCUUCUGCUUGGACUCUAAAGGUAGGUCAUGCUCUUUAGAAGACAGCAUGCCCCCCCCCCCCGGUGUAAGUUCUCAAUUACGCCCUCAAAACUGGGUGAAGGGGGAGAGUAGAGGCAUCACAGCCUUCCCCACAAGCUGCUUAUGAAACUCACCCAACGCCGGAGAUGGCAUAAAGCCCUCGCUGCUCUCCCUGCCCUGGGAAGGGAAAUCCACAAGCCUCCUGGGAUGGGGGUCAGGCUGCUUUUGCUCCCUCUGCUUUUCGUCCCUUUUCCCCUCUACCCCUUCCUUCUGUGGCAUCCUGGUCCUGCCAUGCUGGCAUCUGCCCUGGGAACCUGGCGGUAGACAAGCUCCCAUCUAAGACAGAUGGCUUUGCCUCCUCUUUAACAGAGCCUGCCUAUGAAAGCGUUCUUUCAAUGCGUCACUAUACUUAGAAAUAGCCUCCCGGGGCGCCCGGGUGGCUCAGUUGGUUAAGCGUCUGAUGUCGGCUCAGGUCACGAUCUCACAGUCUGUGAGUUCGAGC